rnacentral:rRNA from 1 species
GCUAAAAACCUAGCCCCACAUAACCUAAUGAAAUUCCCAUAUUACAAUAAUUUAAACUAAACCAUUUUAAUAAUUUAGUAAAGGAGAUCGAAAAAUUAACUGGAGCAAUAUAUAUAGUACCGCAAGGGAAAGAUGAAAUAAAAAUGAAAUAACUAUAAAGCAUAAAAAAGUAAAGACUAAUUCUUGUACCUUUUGCAUCAUGGUUUAACUAGUCUAAUCAAGCAAAACGACUUACAGUUUGACCCCCCGAAACUAAGCGAGCUACUUCAAGGCAGCUUAAUGAGCAAACCCGUCUCUGUUGCAAAAGAGUGGGAAGACCUUCAAGUAGCGGUGAUAGACCUAACGAGCUUAGUGAUAGCUGGUUACUCAAAAAAAGGAUUUAAGUCCAGCCUGAAGCUAAAAAAAUUACUUCAAAAUAACCACCUAACUUCAGAGUAAUUCAAAUAAGGUACAGCCUAUUUGAAACAGGAUACAACCUCAACUACUGGGUUCACUAAAUUAACUUAACAUAACCAAGUGGGCCUAAGAGCAGCCACCUUACAGACAGCGUCAAAGCUUAAAUUAUGUUUUUAUCUAAUACCUACACUACCUUUUAACCCUUUAACAGUAUUGAGUAAUUCUAUAAACUUAUAGAAUCUUUUAUGUUAAUACUAGUAACAAGAAGAAGACCUUCUCUUAAAUGCGAGCAUAAAUCAGAAAGGACAACCCGCUGAUAAUUAACACCUAUGAACCAAUAGUAGCAACUAAACAAGAAAACCCUACUUAUUACAACGUUAAUCUAACACAAGUGCAUUUCAAGAAAGAUUAAAAGAAAAAGAAGGAACUCGGCAAAUAUUAACCUCGCCUGUUUACCAAAAACAUCGCCUCUUGACAAAAUAUAAGAGGUCCAGCCUGCCCAGUGACCAUGUUCAACGGCCGCGGUAUCCUAACCGUGCGAAGGUAGCGUAAUCACUUGUUCUUUAAAUGAGGACUAGUAUGAAUGGCACCACGAAGGUUAUACUGUCUCCUUUUUCUGAUCAGUGAAACUAAUCUCCCCGUGAAGAAGCUGGGAUUUUUAUAUAAGACGAGAAGACCCUAUGGAGCUUUAAACAGAAAAACAAUUGCUACCACAAUUAUUAAUUUCAGAAAACUAAACUUUAUCCUAGCAUUAUGAUUUUCAGUUUUAGGUUGGGGUGACCGCGGAGUAAAAUAUAACCUCCGCAUUGAAACGGAUUCUAUCCUAAGCAAAAAGCUACGACUUUAAGCAUCAACAAAUUGACACCAAUUGACCCAAUAUUUUGAUCAACGAACCAAGUUACCCUAGGGAUAACAGCGCAAUCCACUUCAAGAGCUCCUAUCGACAAGUGGGUUUACGACCUCGAUGUUGGAUCAGGGUAUCCCAGUGGUGCAGCCGCUACUAAAGGUUCGUUUGUUCAACGAUUAAAACCCUACGUGAUCUGAGUUCAGACCGGAGUAAUCCAGGUCAGUUUCUAUCUAUAAGGAGCUUUUUCCAGUACGAAAGGAUCGAAAAAACAUGGCCUAUAUUUUACACAAGCCAUCUUCAUUAAUUUUUGACUAACACUUAAUAAAUACAUUAUCCCACACACAGUUCAAGAAAAGAACAG